rnacentral:rRNA from 1 species
UAUGAAUCCAAGGUGUCUGAAGCAAAUAGACAGCAUAACAAGAUGACAGCCAGAACUAACUGCGGGGCUAAAAUGAGGCUGAAGAAGGAAAAGGAUGGAACAUUUGUCGUAGAAGAGAUAGUCUGGGAAUACAACCACAUGCUACAGCUCACCGCAGAAAUGCUUGUAUUCUUGCACUCCCACAAAAACUUUGACAAAAAAAUCUUGGAGUACGUCAAGUACCUGCAGUUCAAAGGCAUUAACGCGCAAAUCAUGAGCAUACUGGGCGGUGAUGACCCUGGUAGCUACUUCCUCGAAAUGAAUGCCAAAGACCUGGUUAACCUGAAAGCAAAGAAUUCAAGGAUUGAUGAUGUGGACGAUGUCCUAAAGACUAUCAACUUCUUUAGGGAGAUGAAAGCUAUAAACAGGGAAUUCUUCUGUGACAUGCAACUCGACUCAAGCUGCCGAGGGGCGUAUCAGGACUUCGGGGACUGCGUAACGUUUGACACAAUAUAUAAGACCAACAAGUACCAUAUGCCACUUGGGGUGUUUGUCGGAACUAACAACCACUUACAGACUACAUUCUUUGGUUUCUCCCUGAUAAGAGAUGAGGAUGCAGAUUCAUUCAAGUGGCUGUUGAAGAUAUUUUUAAGGUGCAUGAGAAGGAAGGCUCCUACAUGCAUCCUCAUAGACCAGUGCCCGGCAAUGGCUUUGGUGAUCGCAGAUGUUUUCAAGAACAUAGUACAUAAGCUAUGCCGCUGGCACAUUAUGAAGAAGUAUAGGGAACACCUCACGUACCUGUACUACCUGCACGAUGACUUUAAGGAUGAAUUCACAUCAAUGCUCAACUGGCCCCUCAUGCCAACUGAGUUUGAGGAUGCCUGGAAAAGACUCAUGGAUAAGUACAACCUCCACGAUGAUGCCACAAUGGUGGGCAUGUGGAACGAACGUGAGAGAUGGAUAUCAACCUACUUCAAAGAAAUUUUCUGUGCCAAAAUGACAUCGACACAGCAAAGUGAGAGCAUGAACUAUGUGCUCAAGAAGAACUACGUAAGUAAGAGACAUAACCUACACCGGUUUGUUAGCCAAGUAAACUCCUACGUCAAAACCAGGAGGCAAACAGAGAACUAG